CCGGAUUUGUAAUCACAUAAGCAACACAACGGGUGCCACAUGUGGAGCAGGAUCUGCUUACCCUUCCGGAGCACCUGAGAUCACCCCUAGUUUUUGGUGGGGUUCGUGUUGUUUAUUCUUUAGUUUUCUAUGUUGUGUCAUGUGUACUAUUGUUUUUCUGUUUGUCUUUUUCAUUUUUAGCCAUGGCGUUGUCAGUUUGUUUUAGAUUUAUGAGUUUGACUGUCCCUUUGGUAUCU
rnacentral:lncRNA from 1 species